UUUAGCUCGGAUUGCAGCGGCAUCCUUUUGGGUUACGGACUCCGCUUCGCUCCGUCCGCAACCCAAAAGAUAUAGCGGAAAGCCGGAAAAAG
rnacentral:sRNA from 1 species